ACAGGAGUCUAAUGGCUGUGAAUAAGUGGCUGAAUUGAUGUCCACCAGGUGGCGCGAAUCUCUUCGGGGACGCUAAGCGGCCAUUUUGAUCCAAGACGCAGCAGAGAUGGGUUGUUGGUUGUGACGUUUCUCACGAUGAAAAUUAAAAGGUGAUUUAGCACGUAAAAACCAAGUUGCCAAAUCAUUCAAAUCAGACUUGGAAGUGCCUGUACAUUUCCGAAAUGGCGUGCCUCGUGUGUCUCGGUGCCUGUUCUUAGACGUACCGUCUCAUCCCAUAUAUAACAAACACUUCUUUAACGCUGGUGGUGGUUACCUUGUUGCAGCCAAAUGGUGAAAGGUGUGACGAAGACAGAUUGAACCAUUGUAUGGAGCAUGCGGUUGCAGUUCAAUCCAGAAGUUGCUGUGCUGUUGCAGCUGAGCUGUUCCAU